rnacentral:rRNA from 1 species
AUUGAACGCUGGCGGCAGGCCUAACACAUGCAAGUCGAGCGGAUGAAGGGAGCUUGCUCCUGGAUUCAGCGGCGGACGGGUGAGUAAUGCCUAGGAAUCUGCCUGGUAGUGGGGGAUAACGUCCGGAAACGGGCGCUAAUACCGCAUACGUCCUGAGGGGGAAAGUGGGGGAUCUUCGGACCUCACGCUAUCAGAUGAGCCUAGGUCGGAUUAGCUAGUUGGUGGGGUAAAGGCCUACCAAGGCGACGAUCCGUAACUGGUCUGAGAGGAUGAUCAGUCACACUGGAACUGAGACACGGUCCAGACUCCUACGGGAGGCAGCAGUGGGGAAUAUUGGACGAUGGGCGAAAGCCUGAUCCAGCCAUGCCGCGUGUGUGAAGAAGGUCUUCGGAUUGUAAAGCACUUUAAGUUGGGAGGAAGGGCAGUAAGUUAAUACCUUGCUGUUUUGACGUUACCAACAGAAUAAGCACCGGCUAACCUCGUG